GUGUCAGCAGCCGCGGUAAUACGAAGGGACCUAGCGUAGUUCGGAAUUACUGGGCUUAAAGAGUUCGUAGGUGGUUAAAAUAGUUGGUGGUGAAAUCCCAGAGCUUAACUCUGGAACUGCCAUCAAAACUUUUUAGCUAGAGUAUGAUAGAGGAAAGUAGAAUUUCUAGUGUAGAGGUGAAAUUCGUAGAUAUUAGAAAGAAUACCAAUUGCGAAGGCAGCUUUCUGGAUCAUUACUGACACUGAGGAACGAAAGCAUGGGUAGCGAAGAGGGUUAGAUACCCUCGUAGUCCAUGCCGUAAACGAUGUGUGCUAGACGUUGGAAAUUUUAUUUUCAGUGUCGCAGCGAAAGCGAUAAGCACACCGCCUGGGGAGUACGACCGCAAGGUUAAAACUCAAAUGAAUUGACGGGGACCCGCACAAGUAGUGGAGCAUGUGGUUUAAUUCGAAGAUACGCGCAGAACCUUACCAACACUUGACAUGUUCGUCGCAACUCUAAGAGAUUAGAGUUUUCGGUUCGGCCGGACGAAACACAGGUGCUGCAUGGCUGUCGUCAGCUCGUGUCGUGAGAUGUUGGGUUAAGUCCCGCAACGAGCGCAACCCUCACUUUUAGUUGCUACCAUUUAGUUGGGCACUCUGAAAGAACUGCCAGUGAUAAGCUGGAGGAAGGUGGGGAUGACGUCAAGUCCUCAUGGCCCUUACGUGUUGGGCUACACACGUGCUACAAUGGCAUCUACAACAGGAAGCAAGAAUGCGAAUUUAAGCAAAUCCCUAAAAGAUGCCUCAGUUCGGAUUGUACUCUGCAACUCGAGUACAUGAAGCUGGAAUUACUAGUAAUCGCGGAUCAGCGUGCCGCGGUGAAUACGUUCCCGGGUCUUGCACACACCGCCCGUC
rnacentral:rRNA from 1 species